UGGGGAAUAUUGCACAAUGGGGGGAAACCCUGAUGCAGCGACGCCGCGUGAGCGAUGAAGUAUUUCGGUAUGUAAAGCUCUAUCAGCAGGGAAGAAAGUGACGGUACCUGACUAAGAAGCCCCGGCUAACUACGUGCCAGCAGCCGCGGUAAUACGUAGGGGGCAAGCGUUAUCCGGAUUUACUGGGUGUAAAGGGAGCGUAGGUGGCAGGGCAAGUCAGAUGUGAAAACCCGGGGCUCAACCCCGGGAUUGCAUUUGAAACUGUCCGGCUGGAGUGCAGGAGAGGUAAGCGGAAUUCCUAGUGUAGCGGUGAAAUGCGUAGAUAUUAGGAGGAACACCAGUGGCGAAGGCGGCUUACUGGACGGCAACUGACGUUGAGGCUCGAAAGCGUGGGGAGCAAACAGGAUUAGAUACCC
rnacentral:rRNA from 1 species